rnacentral:rRNA from 1 species
AGCAUGUGGUUUAUUCGAUGCAACGCGAAGAACCUUACCUGGGCUUGACAUCCCGAUCGCACCUUUUGGUAAACUUAAGGGUCGAGUUCGGCUGGAUCGGUGACAGGUGCUGCAUGGCUGUCGUCAGCUCGUGUCGUGAGAUGUUGGGUUAAGUCCCGCAACGAGCGCAACCCUCGUCCUUAGUUGCCAGCAUUCAGUUGGGCACUCUAAGGAGACUGCCGGUGUUAAACCGGAGGAAGGCGGGGAUGACGUCAAGUCCUCAUGGCCCUUAUGUCCAGGGCUACACACGUGCUACAAUGGCCGGUACAAAGGGUAGCAAGACCGCGAGGUGGAGCCAACCCCAAAAAGCCGGUCUCAGUUCGGAUUGGAGUCUGCAACUCGACUCCAUGAAGUUGGAAUCGCUAGUAAUCGUGGAUCAGCAUGCCACGGUGAAUACGUUCCCGGGCCUU